rnacentral:rRNA from 1 species
UGGGGAAUAUUGCACAAUGGGCGCAAGCCUGAUGCAGCCAUGCCGCGUGUAUGAAGAAGGCCUUCGGGUUGUAAAGUACUUUCAGCGGGGAGGAAGGCGAUAUGGUUAAUAACCUUGUCGAUUGACGUUACCCGCAGAAGAAGCACCGGCUAACUCCGUGCCAGCAGCCGCGGGAAUACGGAGGGUGCAAGCGUUAAUCGGAAUUACUGGGCGUAAAGCGCACGCAGGCGGUCUGUCAAGUCGGAUGUGAAAUCCCCGGGCUCAACCUGGGAACUGCAUUCGAAACUGGCAGGCUAGAGUCUUGUAGAGGGGGGUAGAAUUCCAGGUGUAGCGGUGAAAUGCGUAGAGAUCUGGAGGAAUACCGGUGGCGAAGGCGGCCCCCUGGACAAAGACUGACGCUCAGGUGCGAAAGCGUGGGGAGCAAACA